AUGGAUAACAUGUCUUUUGCUGCGCCCAUGGGUUCUAGACCAUGGGCCCUCGGCCUAUUUUGUUGCUGUUCCUCAUGUUUCUGCCUAUGC
rfam:Hepatitis E virus ORF-3 structural protein and ORF-2 structural protein genes, complete cds.